rnacentral:rRNA from 1 species
UACGUAGGGGGGCAAGCGUUUGUCCGGAUUUAUUGGGCGUAAAGAGCGUGUAGGCGGCUAGGUAGGUCCGUUGUGAAAACUCGAGGCUCAACCUCGAGACGCCGAUGGAAACCAUCUGGCUAGAGUCCGGAAGAGGAGAGUGGAAUUCCUGGUGUAGCGGUGAAAUGCGCAGAUAUCAGGAAGAACACCCGUGGCUAAGGCGGCUCUCUAGUACGGUACUGACGCUGAGACGCGAAAGCGUGGGGAGCGAACAGG